rnacentral:rRNA from 1 species
AUUGAACGCUGGCGGCAUGCCUUACACAUGCAAGUCGAACGGCAGCACGGGAGCAAUACUGGUGGCGAGGGGCGAACGGGUGAGUAAAGUAUCGGAACGUGCCCAGUCGUGGUGGCUAACGUAGCGAAAGUUACGCUAAUAACGCAUACGAUCUAUGGGUGAAAGCGGGGGAGCGCAAGACCUCGCGCGGUGGGAGCGGCCGAUAUCAGAUUAGGUAGUUGGUGGGGUAAAGGCUGACCCAGUCGACGAUCUGUAGCUGGUCGGAGAGGACGACCAGGCACACUGGGACUGAGACACGGCCCAGACUCCUACGGGAGGAAGCAGUGGGGAAUUUUGGACAAUGGGCGAAAGCCUGAUCCAGCCAUGCCGCGUGCAGGAUGAAGGCCUUCGGGUUGUAAACUGCUUUUGUACGGAACGAAAAGGUUUGGCCUAAUAAGCUGAGCUCAUGACGGUACCGUAAGAAUAAGCACCGGCUAACUACGUGCCAGCCGCCGCCGUAA